GGGUUGUGAGGUUAAGCGACUAAGCGUACACGGUGGAUGCCCUGGCAGUCAGAGGCGAUGAAGGACGUGCUAAUCUGCGAAAAGCGUCGGUAAGGUGAUAUGAACCGUUAUAACCGGCGAUGUCCGAAUGGGGAAACCCAGUGUGAUUCGUCACACUAUCGUUAACUGAAUACAUAGGUUAACGAGGCGAACCGGGGGAACUGAAACAUCUAAGUACCCCGAGGAAAAGAAAUCUACCGAGAUUCCCC
rnacentral:rRNA from 1 species